rnacentral:rRNA from 1 species
GUGGGGAAUAUUGGACAAUGGGCGCAAGCCUGAUCCAGCGACGCCGCGUGAGUGAUGAAGGCCUUCGGGUUGUAAAGCUCUGUGGGGAGGGACGAAAACGCUGCGGGCGAAUAGGCCGCGGCCUUGACGGUACCUCCUUAGCAAGCACCGGCUAACUCUGUGCCAGCAGCCGCGGUAAGACAGAGGGUGCAAACGUUGCUCGGAAUUACUGGGCGUAAAGCGCGUGUAGGCGGACUGAAAAGUCAGGUGUGAAAUCCCUGGGCUCAACCCGGGAACUGCACUUGAAACUGCCAGCCUUGAGUGUCGGAGAGGGAAGCGGAAUUCCUGGUGUAGAGGUGAAAUUCGUAGAUAUCAGGAGGAACACCGGUGGCGAAGGCGGCUUCCUGGAAGAUAACUGACGCUGAGACGCGAAAGCGUGGGGAGCAAACAGGAUUAGAAACCCGAGUAGUCC